AAAACUAUUUCAACAUUCAACUGUAGCGUAAACAUAAUUUAGUUUUUAAAUAUUAUCCCCAAGUAAAACUAAAUCAAAACUAUAGUAAAUAUCGGAUAAUUGGCAAGCGAACAUCCUUAUCAAGCAUUUAAUAUUACUAAUCGACUUUCCAAAUUCAAUACUGAAUACUGAACAGCUGAUAGCAAACGACGCCUACUCUGAGCGUCGCGCAGCUCACAUAUGACGCUUAAGCUUCCAUAUCGUUCCCACCAGAACUAAAAGCGCACGCGUUCUCCAACCGGGAAAAUGUUGGGACGUAGCGUAAUAUUUUUUUACUAUUACAUUACUCGGCAAUAUCCUGCACCGUAGCCGCAAAAGAACUGAAGGAGAAAAAAAGUGCGGAUCAUAGAUUGGAGAGCGGUUUACAUCAGCAAACGAACAUCAUCAUGAAGAUAGCCAGGCUAGGCCAGAGGGGAAAUGGGGACAAUCUGAUUCCUGGACAAGAAAGCGGACUGGAUCGGUUAAAGAAUCCUGGAUUAAAUAAGGUCAGUUUAUUGUAUUCUAAGGUCUGAACAGCAGUUUCUGGCACGAAAUUUAAAUGUUUGUAUUCUUCGGUAUAUAAUAUGAUUUGUUAUUCAUUGUUUAUGUUUAUUGUUAUUCAUUCUGUUAUUGUUGCACACAUACGGAUGUAAGAAUUAUUUGUUUUGGCUACAGGCGAAAUAUGUUUGUUUAUUGACAUGGUGAAAGAUCAUUUCUAAUUUAAUUUUGAACAGGAAAUCAAUAAGAUGGCUAAUAUCUAAUCUAGAGGAAAAAUAGGCGACUAAAGCUCGAACAACAAUUAUUCCAAACUUUGAAUAUUCACGGUUUUCGAUAAUUAAGUUCUAACGUCAAUUGGCCAGUGUUUUGAAUUUGACUUUUGCAAUGUCAUAUUUAGUUCAAUUGUCACUUAUAUGAGAAAUGACUUAUCACUCAAAUUACCUCAGAUAAAAUAAAGAUACUUUUGAAAUAAGA
rnacentral:lncRNA from 1 species